GGACUCCACAGCUGCGGCAGCCCAAGCUCCUCUCGGCUUUGCUGUGUGACUUCCUGAGCUGCUGCCUGCAGACAGACGAGGAGCAGCGCUGGUCUGCCAAGGAGCUCCUGCAGCAUCCAUUUGUAACUUCAGCCAAGCCAGCAUUCAUCCUGGCACAAGUCAUCAACUCAGUGAAGAAGACGAAUAACCCUAACCCUAAACUCUAAACCUAAAACCUAACCCUAACCUUAAAUGCUAACCCAAACCCUAACCCUAUCCCUAUCUCUAUCCCUUACCCUUUCCCUUACCCUUUCCCUAACCCCAACCCUAAGCCUCAGCCAAAGCCUAAACCUAAACCCAAACCUGAACCUAAGUCUAAGCCUAAACCUAAGCCUAAGCCUAAGCCUAAACCUAAGCCUAAGCCUAAGCCUAAGCCUAAACCUAACCCUAACCCUAGGAGACGAGAACAUAGCAAUCAUGUCAAGAACUUAUCUCUGUUACCAGUUUAGAGUAGGAUUGUAGAGUAGGGUUGCUAAAGAGAUUUGUAGCAUAGAAUUAUAGAUUAGAGUUGUAAUUAAUAAAGUUUCUGAAACAUCAA